AGAGCGAACGCUGGCGGCAGGCCUAACACAUGCAAGUCGAACGGACCCUUCGGGGUUAGUGGCGGACGGGUGAGUAACACGUGGGAACGUGCCUUUUGGUUCGGAAUAGCUCCUGGAAACGGGUGGUAAUGCCGAAUGUGCCCUUCGGGGGAAAGAUUUAUCGCCAUUAGAGCGGCCCGCGUCUGAUUAGCUAGUUGGUGAGGUAAUGGCUCACCAAGGCGACGAUCAGUAGCUGGUCUGAGAGGAUGACCAGCCACAUUGGGACUGAGACGACCGGCCCCAAACUCCUAACGGGGAGCAGCAGGUGGGGAAUCUUGGCGCAAUGGGACGAAAGCCCGUGACGCAGCCCA
rnacentral:rRNA from 1 species